rnacentral:rRNA from 1 species
AACGAACGCUGGCGGCAGGCCUAACACAUGCAAGUCGAGCGCCCCGCAAGGGGAGCGGCGCACGGGUGAGUAACACGUGGGAACGUGCCUUUCAGUUCGGAACAACUCAGGGAAACUUGAGCUAAUGCCGGAUACGCCCUUCGGGGGAAAGAUUUAUCGCUGAAAGAUCGGCCCGCGUUGGAUUAGCUAGUUGGUGAGGUAACGGCUCACCAAGGCGACGAUCCAUAGCUGAUCUGAGAGGAUGAUCAGCCACACUGGGACUGAGACACGGCCCAGACUCCUACGGGAGGCAGCAGUGGGGAAUCUUGGACAAUGGGCGCAAGCCUGAUCCAGCCAUGCCGCGUGAGUGAUGAAGGUCUUCGGAUUGUAAAACUCUUUCGUCAGGGACGAUAAUGACUGUACCUGAAGAAGAAGCCCCGGCUAACUUCGUG